UACGUAGGGUGCAAGCGUUUAUCCGGAAUUAUUGGGCGUAAAGAGCUCGUAGGCGGUUUGUCGCGUCUGCUGUGAAAACCGGAGGCUCAACCUCCGCCUGCAGUGGGUACGGGCAAACUAGAGUGCGGUAGGGGAGAUUGGAAUUCCUGGUGUAGCGGUGGAAUGCGCAGAUAUCAGGAGGAACACCGAUGGCGAAGGCAGAUCUCUGGGCCGUAACUGACGCUGAGGAGCGAAAGCGUGGGGAGCGAACAGG
rnacentral:rRNA from 1 species